GAGCAGAAACCCGGCAGGCAGAUAAACUCCCGAAGGUGGUGAGCUCACUAGCAAGAAAUGUACAGCAAGGUUCUAUUGCUGAAGACAACACCUGUGCAGCUCAUUGAACAUGGAGAAAUUGAGCUAGUGCCUACAGAGAACCUUCAUCCCACAUUUUAGCAUCUUUGGAGUAGAAAGAUACUCUGCAUACUACCAGAAGAGAAAUGUAUCCAAAAACCAAGCCAUCCAAAAACUCUUUGAUCCACAAUGGUGUCCUGCCUGCAACAUAUGCUAGUUUUAAAAGUCAUGCUGAACCAACGAAAUGAAGACUUUGGAACAAAAUGAAGAUGAUUACUGUUCUUAAUAGCAAAAUAUAUUGUGCUUUUAUUUGGCAACAGGAGUGAGGAACAUCAUUUACAGUAAUAUAUUAAUUUAAUAAAAAUGUAAUAAUUUUUUCACUUAU